GCCGAGUUGGGUACCUCCAGCUUGUAACCCAAGUGGGGGUAUCAAGGUGUUGGAACGUGGCUCUUAGGAUUUGUCAGGUUGGGUUGGAGGUUGCCCCAUGUUGGCCUGCCUGCUCUAAGUUUAGAAAGUGAUCAAUGGUUUGUGGGCGAAGGCUUAAAAUUCAUUGGUCCUAAACAUGAUGGCAUUGCGUCCCGCUUUCUUCACAGAACAGCGAACACCUCCCGGUCUCGACAGAUGAGGAUAAUAGACCUUUGCACAGGAGGGAUUUACAGGCCUCUGCACUUCUGGCCCAUGAUGCUUG
rnacentral:SRP_RNA from 1 species